rnacentral:tRNA from 1 species
UCCCGGGUAGUGAAAUGGCAUCACAAUUGACUCUGAAUCAAUUAUUCUAGGUUCAAAUCCUGGCCCGGGAUCAA